UUGGCAGAAAGGGCAGCUGUG
rnacentral:miRNA from 1 species